UACUUGAGCAGCUCACCUCAAUCUGUCUCUGAAAAGUUGAUCUUGAUGCAGUUGGACGUUGACGAUGAAUGUUUACAGGAGUUUUGGCAACCUGAUGGAGGUUUGGGUGGCUGAACAAAGACCCGGCCAUGAACCAGAAUAUCUGGAGGUUAUUCCUGGGGACUUACCCACAUAUUCGUCGUCGUCUUCGUCUUUUUUGGAGAAAGCUGCGCGAGAGGAAUCUGUGGACUCUGGAGUGGAGACGGCGAGCACUGGCACGUCAUGUCACACUCUGUCUGAGAUGGACUUGUUGGAAUCAACUGACAGCUACAAAGCAUCCUCAUCAUUUGGUUCUGCUUCGCUGCCUUCCUCCUCGCCACCUCCUGUUUCCUUCCUACCCUUGAGUUCAAACAGAGCCUUUGAAUCCUCAGUCUUUAACCCAAGAGUGAAGGAAGCCCUCCAGAGGUCGGAAUCCAGGCGACAUAGUGAACACCCUGCAGCUGACCAACACUUCUCUCUACCAAGACGCCACAGGACCUCCAUGAUGAGGUCAGAGAGUUUUGGCUUACGGAAGACCACACCAUCAGUAGCAGCAUGGCAGAUAUCCGACAUAAGAAAGCGGAUUUCGUCUUUAAGCAGCGACAAGAAGCAGGGGCAAGGUGAGGCGACGUCCACAGACCUGAGUCCUGGGUUCUGCUACUUGGAGCACGUGUGCCAAAUGUUGGAGGACAUUGCCAAAAAGCAGCUCUAUAGUCGAAGCUACCAGAUGGAAAUGGAUGUCCUACCAGAGGACCAGGACGAGAUGCCUUCCAGCCAGGCCUCCAGUGCCUGUCAGCAUGACAGUAAGUCAUUAGACGUGGCUGUUUCUUUUGACGGUGACGACCAGAAGCAGCUUCACAGCGAGGACAAGCAAUUCAAGGAAUAUCCUUAUGGGCUUUUUCGGCAGAGAUCAGCCUCAGACACCACUCUAUCAUCACUGCAUCUAAGAAAGUUAAAUUUGAGCACCAGGGGGCAGCAACUGAGUACACGUGACCUACUGGACCAGUACGAGGACAACAAAAAACAGGAGGAAACGCAAAAAAUCAACAUCAAGAACUGGAAGAUAAAGGUUGGCUCCCUGAAAAGAGAUUCUGAACAGUUGAACAGAAACAGCCAAACCGCAGAGCCUUCUGACAAAAGCUCCACCCGGCGACACCUGAGCCAACUGUUUCGGAGGAGGAGGAAGACUCUGCCUGUUUCUACCGCUCACUGACAUGGAAGGCGAAACAGGUUUCAUCUUACUGUAAUUUAUUGCAGUACUUAUACAGUAUUUUCUAUUGUUGUAGCAUCUUCCACUACAACUUUUAAUUCGAUUUGUAGAUACAUGGAAAACAUACACAAUUAAGAGAAAUAUAUAUUAUUAUUUUGUAUUAUGUAUAUUUGCAACUUACAACGAGAGCGUCAAAUAUUUGACGUAACGUACAUAAAUGCAAAUAUUCUUGUAUUUUCUCUCCUACGUACUGUUUGCAUUAUUGUGUCAUCUGUGUUAUGAUACUGUGACCUGUAUAUGAAUAAAACGCACCAUUAUUCAUCAAAGAUAUACAUUUCAAUUAUGAUAAUAUGGCUCUUCUGGGAAUUUAAAGUGCUUAAAUACAAGUAAUGAUCAUUUCUUAAUAACGAGUUUUAAGCACCUUACUCAAAACUACCUAACAUUGCAUUAUUUUGAGGAUUUCAACCCUUUAAAUGGCAGUUCAACUCUUUGACCUUUUUUUUUUUUAAAUUACAAAAACGUAUAUUUUCUUUAUCAUAAAUAUUAGAGUAGGACGGAGCUUUGAUGACUCUUAGGUAUGUAAAAAUUAGCAACGAUAUUGAUUUGCUUGUUUUAGUAUUUCUUAUGUACUGCCAGAUGCUCCCUCUGGAUACCUUUGUGGCAAAAAAUGCCUCAUUGCAACACGUUUUUAAAGUGAUUUAUGAAAAAAAAAAACAUUGACGUGUGAGGAUUUAAUAGCACAUUUCGUGUGCAUGUACAUCUUUUGCCAAAAAGGUGUCCAAAGGGUAAUACAUUUGUGUGUGGCAGCAUAAAAAUAACAGCACAGUUUUUUUUUCAUGAAUUGAGUCUUUAUUGGGGCACCUGGCAUUCCCAUGAAAAGAGAUGACAAACACAUCCAACCAAACAAGAGAGGGUGAACAGGAUUCCAGUCCAUACAUAAAAUACAUAUAUUUACUAUUUAUUGAACCAUCUGCAUUCAUUGGUCCACCACACAGCAUCCAUCUGUGCUAUUAAAUAUAUAGAGAUCACUCAUCUGUGGGGAGGGGGGUUAUUUACUGAAUAUGCGUGUGUGAGAGGGAGAGCUUAUAGUCGACAAAGGUGUGGCUGAGCAGCGUUUCUACAUGAUGCCGCAGGAGGACAAAGGGUUGGCGAUAUGGCAGGUGCAGGCCGACUGGCAGUACUGGCGCACAGUCUGGUAGCAGCUGCGGUCGGCGUCCCCGCCCCACUGCACCGGCCCGUUGGGGUCGGCGGGCAGCCGGCUCAGGAUGCUGGUGUUGAUGGCGAGGGCCGCCAGGCCGUAAUCGGUGAACAGCACCGUCUCGCGGCGGCAGGUGGGGCAGGAGAUGAAUUUGUACUUGGGGCAUGAUUCGUAGAGGAUCUGCAAGCACUCCUCGCACACCGAGUGCAGGCAGGACAGGAUGCGAGGACGCUUGCCGGCAAAGUUGUAGGUGUGGCCGCAGGUGGGGCAGUCAAGGGGCUCGCAGGGCAUGACCGGCCCGGAGGAUGAUGACGAGGAAGUGGACGACGAGGUGGAGGAGGAGCGCAGCACAUACUGGUUGACGAUGACGUCCUCCAUCUUGUAGUGGAACUGGUGGUAGCAAAUCUCGUUGGCACUGGUUUUGCGCUGCGCUAAGAAGCUCUGCUCCCUGCGAAGGGCCGGGGCCGUGGGGGACACCAUGGGCCUGGGUGGUGGCGCCGCUAUGUCGAGUGUCAGGUCGCUGCAGGCUUGGUUGACGAUGAUCUCGCCUUCGCCUCCACCGUCCCACGCCACUCUGGGUGGCGGGGCGAAGCGGGGCUGGGUGACGGGCACAGGGCACUCCCUGGGGAACUUCUCCGACUGGAUGAUCUUGACCGUGUCCAUUGGGAUGGUGACCGGCUGACGCCUGAGGCAGGACAUUCGGGAAUCUGGGAAGCGGACGACAAAGAGGCUCUAAAAAGGAGUGCUCGCCCCUGCCUUGUGGUGGUAGAGAGGACUGGCAAGUGCUGUUGUGGCGAAGUCAGCCAUUGGAGGGCACAUGGGGACGGAUAACAGCCUCCAUGUUGCCCUUAGAGACCCCGCCCCCAAUCCUGCUGGUUGCUGCUGUCAGCCUGAGUCCUUGUGAGGGCUUGACGGGUAGAAGAGUUGAGCCAGAGCACCUUGUGGAUAAACAGUCUAGCUUAUUUGACCAGCGUUGACGUAUUAGCAGAAACCCACACUCAGCACCUAUAGAUGAUGUCAGAUGUCACAAUUUAGGAUAACCCUCAGCCAAAUUUACUCAGGGUGGUCCGUUUAUUUCGGAGAGGAGGUGUCCUUUGAGGCUUUUCUGAAUUCCUCCAAUGUGGGAGUGAACGUAGAGGAAGUGAUAACAGUCUCAAGUAUUCCUCGGUGCUUGUCUCCCGCUUCUGAAACUGAUAAAGUGCCCUCCAGAUAACUUUGGUGCGUCUACCUGCCAUAAAAAAACAGAAAGUGGUGAAUGGGUUAGUUAUUUGCAUUGACAAGAAGCUUUGUUGGUCCAGCAGGUGGCGCUGUGGUGAAAAACAACCUUGUGAAUGCAUGGAAAUGCAGUCUCAUAACCCUUAAAGUGCUUUAGAAAAAGCUUCUUUAUUGUGUUUGUCUGGUUGCUGCUGACUCUUUCUGCCCCUUUCUCUGUUUUGUGUGGCAGCAGAGCUCACCUCCAUGUUGCCAAGGAAACAGCAUUGUGUACCGUUUAUGGUUUUUUGUCCAAUCAGAUUCCAGCUUGUACGUGUUGCCAUAUCAAUGUAAUCUGCCCAGGGCCUCCAGAAUCAGGAGUGCUGGUCCCUGCCACACACACACUAUUAGCAAUGGGGCUGUUUUUUUUAGCUGUUCUUUUCAGACUUCUGAUUCGCCUCUCAGGACCAGCCUGCAGGCCCCCACUUUUGAUUAGCUGAUCAGAGCAAAUGACAGGCCCCCAGUCCUGAUUGGUUGAUCACAGCAAAACUGUUCACAAGUUACGCCCACAAUGGCUGACUGAGGAGGAGAAAUUGACAUCUAUGGUGAGUAGAUGUAUUUUAUUUAAAAGUUUUAGGUUUGUGUUGUUCGACUCUAGCGUAAAUGGCAACGUAUGGCAAUAUAGAUUAUUAGCAUUGUUUUUUUAACAAUACUGACCCUCACUGUGUCUGUCAAGAAAAAUUUCUGGCUGGUCAAGUCUCCACUGAAGGCCCAGGUGCCAAAUGCACCGCCCGCAACUGGUUUUUGCAGUAGUCCUCAGCUGCAGAGGCAACUCCGCUUUUAUAUUGACUGCUGUCAAAAAUAAUAGAGCAUCUAUGUUCGUGGGCAGGACAAUCACUCCUCUGCAUUUAUUUGACAAAAAUGUGUGCACUGAUAGCUGUUUACUGGUAAGUGUGUAGAUUGUGUGCCCGCAGCGCAUUUUAUAUUGGCCCUUGGUAUACUCUAAAAAUAAAAUUAAUUCCUUAUUAAUGAGAUAAUUUAUUAAAUUUGACACAAAUUUGCUUUGUCGCCUCUAGCACAAGACAAUACGGAUGUUUUGCUAAGCUAGUUUAGCAUACUGUGAGUAUCAGAAUGCUCCUUAAAUUCUCCGUGGAAAAAGUUUGGACACCCCUGAUGUAGGACAUCUUUGACUAUCGCCCGAUAUGUUCGAUAGACAGUAGGGGUGUCACGAGACAAUACACGAGAAUGGGUCUUCGAGAACGAGGCGGGACAAGAUUUUCCUCCCACGUUCCAAAAACAUGCAUGUUAGGUUAAUCGGCGACUCUAAAUUGUCCAUAGGUAUGAAUGUAUGUGUGAAUGGUUGUUUGUCUAUAUGUGCCCUGUGAUUGGCUGGCGACCAGUCAAGGGUGUACCCCGCCUCUAGCCUGAGCCGGGAUACCCACGACCCUAGGGAGAAUAAGCCGCAUAGAAGAUGGAUGGAUAGAAACAAUAUUACUGUCAACAUUAUUUAAGACCAAAUUAACCAUUAAUGUUAUGAUAAUAUAUCAUAAUAACAAUUAUAUAUAUAUUUUAGUAGGGGUGCAACGAUUCAUCUACUACAUCGAUGUAUCGAUUUAUAUUCCUUUGAUUCAGCUACUGUACAUUGAUCUGAGUUCGGCAAGUUGCCAUUCCAGACGACAUAUAUCAAUCUAACAUCGUUUAAAUGGCAAACAAUCGACUGCAUCGAUACUAGAAAACAAGGCAUUGGAUUUAAGCACAGCAGGCUUCAUAUGGAAACCUCUCCAACCACCUACUAAGACGCCUACUAAGGAUUUCACACAACACUGACCGUCCAGGCACCUCCUGCUGUCGCAAGUAGCAGGUAAACCUACUGUUGAUGUUGGUUGCACUUUAUUUUGAUAUUAAUGUUGUAUUUUUUUAUGUUGAAAAACAAAAGCAGAAGUAGCAGGUGAAGCUACUGUUGAAAUGUUGUUUGCACUUACUGUACUUUUAUUGAAAAUGUACUGAAUAUCGAAAAAGAGAGCAGAAAAGGUUCACCUCUUGUUCAAGAAACCUGAAGUGUUGGUUACACUUUCAGAUAGAAUGCGAACGCAUUUGCCAUUAAUUGUUGUUUACCUGUUUGUUUAUAUCCAUGAUUAAUUUAUACCUGAUUCCCUUUCAAAAAACAACAGGAAUUUAGGAAACUUCACCUGCACUGUCCAGCAUCCAGUGAUGAUUCAGUGGAGGAGAGGAGGUGACCUACAUGACGAAUGAAGAGGAAAGAGAACAAGAAAGAACCACAGAGUAGGUUUCUAUUUCUGGUUUGUUUAUGCAUGCAUGUAUUAGCUUCCUGCACACCCUCCCUCCUCUCUACAGGCGUCACAUGAUGCAGCAGCCAUGUUAGACUCUGCUUUCCUUGCCUUUGUCCUCCCACGACGCACGCACACAAUCACACAUACAAUCUCACCAUGUGUUUGUUUCCACUGACACACACAUGCCUGUAACACUUUCUUACACACACUUGUGUAACAGUUUGAUUUAUGGCAGGAUAGUGAUGACAAAAUGCAGAUCAUUUGGGAAAAAGGUUCGAGAUUUUAUCACCAGAGAAGUGGAAUCCCCCUAAAGAUGUGCAAUUUGGAAUUUCACCAACAAUCUCGAGGUGAAAUGUGCCUAUAAAGUUGCAGAAAACCCCAGAAUUUAUUUCCUUCACAUUACAAUAUGGUUAUUUUGCAUUAAAGGGAUAGUCUGGAUUUUUGGACAUGAAGUUGUAUGACAUCCCCAUCAGCGUUGUAGUCCAAUAACAACGACUUACCCCCCACUUGGUCUCCUUAGUCCAGUUCUGGUCAGAUUUCUGUGAUGAAGAACGUAGUCCCGCUUAGUUGCUGGGGUCAAUUAAGUCAAGAGGUUGGCUUCUCAAAACAAUAUGCGUUCUAAAGAUUAAUACAGUUGCAUCACAAAAAUGCCUUCUCAAAAAAAUCACACCUCACAAAACGCUUGGCGUUAUAUAUUUGUCUCCUGAGACGAAGAUGGUCGCAUCUACUUCCGUGAUGGAGCACCGCGGCCAUCUUGUUUACGUACGUGUUCCACAGCGGAAGAGCAAGAUUGGUUGAAAAACAUGACUGCCGUCAAGCAAAACGUCUUUUUUUACGACAGUAAAACGUGGAGGAUAUCUGUAUCACAUGUACAGUAUGUUAGAAUGUCUUCCAAAGCUUCCUAACCACAACCCGUAGGUGGCGCCACAAAUGUCAACCACUCACAUUCACAACCACUUGGGAUGUGAAUCUCUUUGUGAAGGACAAUUGGAUUCGAAUCUAGAUACACACGUUGCAAUGCGAUUUUAAAAUGAUAUGUUUUAAAAACAGAACGAUUCGAUACAGUGUACAAACAAUAUGAUUCAAUUUGAUUCUACGUUUAACGUUUUCUGAUGCAGACAUUUAUCUCACAUUAUAAAAUAAAGAAGCCAAUUCUAUAAAAGUGCCAUUCUUACAGUAUUUUCAAAUGUGCAAAAGAGCACAUGUCCCCAAAACGCAGGGAUCCCCAAACACCCAAGUUUGCAGGCGUAAUGAUAAAAAAAAAACACACACUGAAAAAAAAAGUAAAUAACUACAUCACAUUUUAUGUAAUUGGAUAUCAAUUAUUUUGUUCAAAAAAUAAUAUAUAGUUAGAAAUCCCACAGAGUACUAUACUGUACUUUUCCCAUUUUUCUUUCACAUAAUAUUUGGUCCCAAAUGGUGACACCAUGUGGGAAUGCAUAAAUUUGGGGAAGAUUUGAUGACCUUACUGAGUGCUAAUGUGAAUAUUAGUUUGUUGGAUUCGUGCACAACCUCAAGUUAAUUAAUGCUAGCAAACAGCAACGUAUAACCUUCUCCCUGCAAAUGAAACUCCAGGCUCGUACUGGUGGAUGGUGGCUCUGUAUUCACUGAGUGCUUUUAAUUUGAUGUUGUUCCUGUCUUAGUUUUACACAAUACCUAAUAUAUUGCUGACCUCUUGGCCGGGUCGCCCUUGUAAAUGAGAUCCUGGUCUCAAUGGGACUUAUCUGGUUAAAAAAAGAAAAAAUAUGAUAAAUUAGAUUGCUAUAAUGUAUGCAUCGCUACUAUUUACAUCCAUUCUCGUCCUCAGUCACGGUAAGGUGCGGUCAAUGCGUGACAAUCCUCUCGCCCGCAGCCCAGGCUCUCGCAUUGUUUAAGAGACGGACUGUCAACCGGUUGCUAGUCUUGCGAUACCCGGUGUAUGUUUCUACAAUUGAUUCAUCUAAGGCUUUAUGGGUGUUUGUUAUCGAUCCAAGAGGCUUUCACCGGUGCAACCAUAUCGCUCUCUUGUCAAACUGGAUAUCUGGUCGCAUCGGUUUACGCAUCGGUUUACGCGUCGUUCACAACCCUAACAACCAUGGACAAUUUUGUCUCCAAUUAGUCUAACAUGUAUAUUUUUGGAGUGUGACCAUUAUAGUGUGAGAACAUAACUAAGCUGACCACAAACAAACGUUACUGACAUAUCUAAGUGCAAAAAAUAGCAAGUAAUGACAUCAUGACGCUUGUUUUGUGGCUAUAAAAAGCAUGUGUCUGAAGUGUGGAGAUAAAGCAUCCAGACUACAAAGCAGCUAAAAUGACUGCUCCAAUGUGAGUAGACGACAACAUCACCACCACCGCCACCAGACGGCCUGAUAAGCCCCGCAGGCCGCCAUCGCCUGCAGAUGGGGCCGGCUUUUUGGCGCAGCCUCGUCCUAAUCGACGUUAGCCCUCUGCGGUUAUGUAAGGAGCUCAUCCACCGCAUGAAAAGUGCAAACAGACGCAGCUUUUUAUCCCGGCGUGCGUGUGCUGUGCCGGUGGUGUGUCCUCCGCUAAUGAAAUGAAGACAGGCAUCUGACCUGCUAGUUAUAAACAACAGGAAGAUGGGAGAUGAAUGCAAACAUGUUCAUGCACACUGCAUUGUCACCCUCACAUGACCCAGAUGCCUUUCAUUCCAUUGGACUGGCACAGGAGACACAAACAUGGUGAUUUCUAUCUCACAAACCAAACACCACCCAGCCAGCUUGUUUGCAUGACAUUUUAGUAUCAUUCAUCAUAUGAAAUAUAUAUAUAUACAGUCAUGGAAAAACAUAAUUCAGUCACCCUUGUUUCUUCAGUUACAAAUAGUAGCUACAAAUAUAAUGAUGACAACAAAAAUAGCUAAGAAGAGGAGUUUCAUUUAUGAGCUGAUAUCAAACCAUUUCAGUGGUUUUCGUGAUAAUAACCAAAAACACUUAAGUUCUUAUAUCAAUAGCUACUGCCAAAAAAUGUAACUCUUUUGAGCUAUUAUAUAGCUAUUAUAUACAUAAUCAUUAUAUUUGUCCAAACAAAUGUACCUUUAGUUGUACCAGGCAUUGAAAUGAACAAGAAAUUGAAGAAACAAGGGUGGUCUACUCAGUGACUGCUGGUCUACUUGGUCUGCUUUGGUGGUCUACUUUUCCAUGACUGUCUAUAUUGUCUUUCUGAAAGCAAUUUGGACAAAAUAUAAGCAACCGAUCCCAAUUCCCAUCCACUUUUUGUUGUUUCUAAGCUGAAUAUCAUUCAGUAGCUUUUUAAAAUGAUAUGAUUAAUUAGCGCUGUUAGUAUAACUGUGCAUUGUGCAUCUUCAAAUGAGCUUUUCGCAGAGAACAGGGUGGAUUUAAAAAAAACCCCACUGUAAUAAGUACAAAAUUUACAUUUAAAUGUAUAUGUUUUUUGGUUAUUUAUAAUAUGAAUAUAAUGUUGGAUGAUGGUUUAUAUAUUAAAUAUAGUAUGUCAAAUAAAUGAUAUUAAAAUGUACUUUUUCAUAAUAUACUUUUUUUUGGCCUGGUGCUGUAAUGAUACACACUUCUGCCAUUCAUGGGGACUGCAAAUGGGAGGGUUGCGUCAGGAAUCAAACACGCGAUUGACUCACCGUGGCGACCCUGACGGGAACUGCCAAAAUACAUCUUUAUGUUGUAUUUAUUAUUGUUAUUAUUAUCGCAUUUUAUGAAAAUAUCCCUGCUUAAAAACUAUGCUAAUAUAUACUCUUAUACUAAAAGACUACAAGUUUUAUUUUAAGAUGUGUGGCAAAGCCUACACAAUAAGAAAAAACACUGUUUAUAAUUUUAUUAUAGAUUUUUUUCGUAUUAUUUUUAGUAGUAGUACUACAUGCUCGUGUGGCUAAACAGUAUGUACAGUAUAUUUAUGUCAUUUCAUGUCAUUUCCUAUUGUUUAUAAUAAACAUUCACAUAGUUCAAUUAGUAUAAUAAACAAGUACAUUUUUACAAACACAUUUAAAUCUUUUUUACUAAAACAUUGCAUUAUGAAAAGCAUGUGCAGUGUUAAUAUUCUCACGGUUUUGAGCCACCAAAUUACAACACUGUAUCUUCUUUACCAACGCAGCAUAGUACAAUUUCCUACUAAGUAAUUGUGUGACUUUUACUAUUGUGCACCUGCUUUCAUAUUUUCCUGCUACGUUCCACUUGUGAUGACCAUGAAUCAUCAGUCUGUCUCUCUCGCUCUCUCUCCAUGUCUUCUCAAUGAACACCAGUCCACCUCCUCCACCUCUCUCCUCAUGCUCCAUCACAUAGGAGCAGCAUUAUAGAGGCAGUCACAUAUGUCAGCUAUGUUGUCCACGAGUAAAAAGGCAAGGAGGUAUUAUGUUAUGUUAUUAUUAUUAUGUAACAUGUUGUGACCUUGGCACACUUUCAGUACAAAUCCCAUUGGUUUAGCUCUUGGACAUAAUGCAUGCUCACUUGCAUGUGUCGGAGGUAUUUUUUAAAAAUGAUUCUCCCUGCUGACAUCCAUCGGCCAUUUUGCAAUUCAUUUCCGCUAAGUGCUCUUUGUUCAGCGGCGGCGGCAACAUGGAAGAAGGUGCAGGCAGGCAGAAAAAUAAAAGCCAUCAUCCCGCUACGCUUGACCUCAUGGAAGAUUUAUGAGCCUCCGCAAUUCCCGAUUGAUUAAAGCCGAUUGAUUAUGUCUGUUGUUAUUGCUGUGCGAGGAGGAGGGCGAGGAGGAGGGCGAAGUAUUUAAGAUGGUUUUGGCAUGUUGCUGGGCAUGAGGGAGGGGUGCGUUCAGGAGUUAUGCAAUCGCAACAUUCCCACCGCAGCACCGACGACGUACAGUUCGGAACAUGCCAGGUCUACAAAUGUACCUUUUUUUUUUUGGACAGCAGGGGGUGGGCAAACUGCGGCCCGUGUGCCAUAAACAACCCAUGGGAGCGCUUCACCCAGCCCGCCCCCCCCCCCAAAAAAAACAACACACAUAAAUGCUCAUAACACGUACUGGUAAACAUUGUGAAUGUAGUGUUGUACGCAAGGUUAGCGUGAUGCUUGCAUGAUUUUGUGCGUGAUGGUGAUGCAACGCGUCAUCCCUCCUUCAAUCGGAGCGAUAGAAGCUUCUAGAACAAUCGUUCUGAAUAAUCGUCCUCACCUUGGCCUCACUGUUCCAGAUUGCGUUGAUUCACAAGCACGCAGAGAGAAGAUGGAGGUCCUUCACGCCACCUGGAUGAGCGUCUCUCUCUCGUCUCUCCAUCCUUCCUCCUCCUCUUGCGACGUGGCUUAUAAGGGCGGAUGGGAUGUAUGGUGGUACACCACUCCUCUAUAGGUGUUUAUCUCCAGGACCACACCGUGAUGUCUCCAUCCUUUUUUGUUGUUUUUUUUGUUCCCCUCUCUCCUGUGCUCUUAUCAGCCCCUCUCGCAACACCUCCUUUUCCUCCUCCUCCGCCUCCUCCUUCUUCUUCGUCUCACUGCCGCACAUGCGCACGCCCCUCCUCUCCCCUCUCUCGCUUCUCUUCUCUCUCCUGCACUGCAGUGGCUCUGCAGGCAGCAUCAGACUGAAAAAAGAAGAUUUCAACCAAUGAGAAUCAUCAACAUCCACCCCCACUGCCCCAUACACACACUCACACACACACGCUCUUAACUCAAUACAUAUACAGUAUACACACACAUAGAGGAAGCUGGUUCACACACACACACACACACACACACACACACACACACACACACACAGAUCUAAUCUACAAAGUGCCGAGAGGAGUAAAUGAAGCAUAAAGUCGCUCACCAAUCACAAAGAUGCUGACUCGAGGCUCCGAUGUUGCCAUGCAUUAUGAAUAGGUGUGGGCUGAUCGAUCCAAAUAUCGAAAGUAUCAAUACCAAGAGUAAUAUCACAAUGUCAUCGAGAGAUACUAGCGUGAUGAGAUUGAUAUUUUGUGUUUGUUUUCACAAAUAUGGUAUCUGUGUGUUUUUGUAUACACCGUAUUUAUAUGUUACUCAAGUCAUUGGAUUCUGAAGCUCUUUGGGGGUAAAAAUCCAACGAUAGUUUUUGCUUUUGUUGAAUUAUUUUGCACUAUUGACUUUAUUUUGCAGAAACAUUUGCGUGCAAUAAAAGAGAGUAAUUGCAUUGUUUUGUUAAUAUGGUUGUAUUGUAGAGCUGCGUGGUGGCCUAGUGGUUAGCAUGUUGGCCACACAGUCAGGAGAUCGAGAAGAUCUGGCUUCAAAUCUCCGUUGGGGAUCUCUGUGUGGAGUUUGCAUGUUCUCCCCGUGCGUGCGUGGGGUUUCUUUGGGUACUCUGGUUUCCUCCCACAUUCCAAAAGCAUGCAUGUUAGGUUAAUUUGCGACUCAUAAUUGUGAGUGUGAAAGAUUGUUUGUCUAUUUGUACCGUGGCAACCAGUCCAGGGUGUACCCCGCCUCUCGCCCGAAGUGAGGAUAAUCAGCAUAGAAGAUGGAUGGAUGUUGCAUUGUAUUAUUUAUAUUGAUAUAUUGUUAAAUAGUUCACAAAUAAGUUAAUUAAUUGUCUAUAUAUCAUAUAUUCUAUAUGCAGUAUAUUAUAUAUUAAUAUUGUUGAUAAAAAUAUGUUUUUGUUUGCCUAAAGCAGGGGUCGGCAACCCGCGGUUCUGCAGCCGCAUGUGGCUCUUCAGCCUCCUUGUUGCGGCUCCCUUCGCCGAGCGCCGUGAUUUUUUUUUUAACACCGAAAUAGGAGAAAUGUGCAUUUUCGAAAUGACUGUCUGACUCAUGAAUGCAUCUCGACUGCGUUCUGACUGCUGAUUGGAUGAGCAAGGGACGGAGAGGUAGGCUAGUGUAUGCAGUGAGUCUCACUGAGUGGGAGAGAAAAAAAUGUGAGGGAGUUUUAUUUGAGUCUGAAGCAAGUUACUGCGCAGUAAAAUAAAUGUAAUUAACAGGAUAUACAGCAUAUAGCAAUAUAUUUUAUAAUGAAAAGUGCGCUAUAGCUAUGUGAUCGGAGACCGUGACAUGCUAAUCGCCAAGGUGGUGACUCCAGGAGAGGCAGAUAGCGUGCAGCGGCAGGUGUUUGUACACUCACCGCUCAGAACAGUAUGCGCUUUCACUUUUACGUCUCUGAAUACGAGCAAAAUCUCACAACGACGUCAGGAAAAGUCUUCACAUUUGUCGGUAGUCGCUUUUGAGAAAAUAAGUCACCAAGAGGGCUUGGAAAGUUGCCAGAUUUAGCAAGAAAAUCGCCAAGUUGGCAACACAGGGGUGCACAUGAGAUGGGAAGCCAUUCACAGAUGGAGAAUACAUGAAAGAAUUGUUAAAAAUAUCAGAGCAUCUAUUCUCCGAAUUAAAGGCAAAGGUAACAUUUCAAAAGUUUAUAAGCAGUGUAAUGUUUUGCAGCUCCCGGCUAUUUUUUUUACUGGAAUAGGAGGCAAAAUGGCUCUUUUGGUGGUAAAGGUUGCCGACAACUGGCGUAAAGUCUUUGUCCUGUUCCAUAUUGUGAUUAUAAUCAUGAUGAACAAAUUAAAGGAAACAUAAAAUCAAUGUUGAAAAUGUUCAAAUAAAUAGUAUUGGUAUCGGUAUCAGGCAAUUCUGGCCUUGUGGUUACUUGGUAUCGAAUCAAUACCGAAAUUUACGGUUAUACCCAAACUCAUCACAAAAGAAUGUGCAUGGCUAGCAGUGUCUCUAAUGUAACAUCUGCCCUGAAUGAGUGACAUGCCAUUCAAACGUUGACAGCGACAAGAAACGAGAUUCGGCCUCGAAAUUUCAAACUGACCAAUAGGUUUCACCCGGAAAAAGUCAUCGGAAGAUGUCGUCAAUCAGAGGAAGUGGUGUGUCCACUUUAUGGGCCUACAAUCGGAAAUUGUAUGGUAUUGUUUCUGGUGGAAAUCAUUUUAGUGUAACACCAAUGGACUAACAUAAAAAGCGGUAUUUAUUCAUAUGAAACAAAGUUACGAACAGAAAUCAGCAAAGGUAAGACAUGAUUCCUAAUCAUAAAGGGUCAGUUUUGCACUAUUUUGUCUUCAUGUCCAGUGAGUUUAGCGACAGACAAAUAGUACUUGUAGCAUCUCUUUGAUGUUAGCUUCAAGUUAGGCAAAGUUUGUUGUGAAAAUCUUAUGAUUUUGAUGGACUUUUUAACGGCAUAUGCUGGUCUUGGAGCGUUAGCUUCAUUUUGACAUUUGCCCAUUGGUUUGUCGUUUGAAUUUUCCUAAAAUUUGAUUUGCUGAUGUUUGUUGACUUGUAGCAUGGGUAUAGUGACGGUGACUAGUGAUUAAUAUGAAUAUUGCAUCUGUCUAUAUAGCUAGCUAGCUUUACAGUCAUCCCUCGUUUCUAACAGUUAAUUGCUUCCAGAACCGACCGCGAUAAAUGAAUGUUAAUGUUCAGGGGCUCAGGAGGGAGAGCGGGUCACUGGAAGGUUGGAGGUUUGAUCCUCGUUCCCUCUGCCCAGCCACUGUUGUGUCCCUGGGCAAGACACUUCACCCACCUUGCCCCCAGUGCUGCCCACACUGUGUAUGAGUGCAAAUGAAUGUUUGGUGGUUGUCGAACAGGCGGUAGACGCGAAUUGGCAGCGUCAAUUUUCCCCCAGGGCAGCUGUGGCUACAGACGUAGAUGAGCAACACCAAUGUGACUGAGGAAUGAAUGAAUAAUGGCUUCACUUCACUGUGAAGCACUUUGGGUACCUUGUAAAAAGGCGCUAUAUAAAAUCAAUCCAUUAUUAUUAUUGUUAAUAAAUGGAAUAUUUUCGUAGAGCAUAGAAAACCUGUGGAUGACUUUCUAAAUACGGUUUUAACAUUAUUGGAGCCCUGUAGAUGUGAAACGACACACCAAUAGUUACCUUUACAACCCUAUUAUUCAUUGUUUACAACACAUUGUGCAACUCUUAUGCUGCAGGGACUCCAGACGUUCGCUAGCUAGCAAGCUAACAGUUAGCCUCAAAUGUAUUUUUUCUAAACUUAAGAAGCCAAAAACUUACCAUUUCCACAUGGGAUGGGAGGAGAACUUUUUUUUCACUCUAUCAUGUCAGACAUGCCAUGGCUGACUUCAUGACUUCAUGGAGUGUUAAGGUCAUGUGAUGUCAGGUAAUGUCUCAAUGUUUUGUGUCAUUACUGCCACCUAGUGACCAGAAUACUACAUAUCGCUUGGAUUUCAAUAUGUUUUGACUAAUAAUAGACACAGUCUACUAGGAAACAGCAAUCACUUUCUGAAAAAAAACACAAUAUAGCGAGGUAACGAUAAUCGAACCACGAUAUUGCGAGGGUGUGCCGUAUACGGUAUACGAAUCUAUGUAUUGACUAUAACCUGCGGUACUUGCUUGACCUUGCUAAAAAGUUGUCUUAUGCUUGUUGUUAUAGUAAUAUUAAGCUGUUGAUUAGCAUUUUUUCCUUUAAAAGUCAUGGAGUUAGGAGAAUAAAAUAAAUUAAAACCAAUAAAGAGGCAAAAUGUCUCAAUUUUACAAGUAAAUGACACUUCCCAACGCUGCGCACUAUUUACUGCAUCUCAAAAUAUACUCACUCUCGAUACAGCUUUGCAGCAUGUAUUACAUAACAGGGAUAAUAAUGAUAGCUUUAACUCUCUAAGCUUUUAUCAUAAAAAGAAAAAGAAAAAUGAAGACUUUUGAUCAGUGUGAGAGGGUUACAUAACUAUUGUGAGAACCGAGUCCGUCCUCAAGCUUCCUGUCGAGCUAAUUAACAGACGCUAAUAAGUCCAACAAAGCCAUAUGUCAGUGAUAUCUUUUCCUCUUUUGCGUGGCUCAGCAAGUAGGAAGGAAGGUCGGAGGAAAAACAAGUCAACACAUCACCGCUGCAAUAAACAGUCGUCAAGACAAGCAUGCUAUGCGCAAAAGUCCCCGCUCGAUCAAGUAUUCAUGAGUGUGUUUUGCAGCGAUGAAUUAAACGGGAAUUCUGCAGAACUAGCCUUGCAGUAUCAGUAAUGGCAAUGAUUUGGGAAUUUAGUCAAUAAAACUUGAUGUCACUGAAGUAUGCACUUGCUUAACGUCCCUUUAAGCUUCAUGCAAGAUGGUUGCAGAACACGUCAGCAAGUCAGCUUCCUUGCCAGAACACGCCUUAAAAAAAAGCAGUAAGAUGAGAGCAGGACAAAGGCUAAGCAACAUUUUAACUUUGUUGAUUAUAGCAAAAAAAAAGUAGCGUAAUGUAACCCCGAGACCACUGAGGUAAAUCCGGUGCAUGUAAUUGCAAUGUACAAACUCAACAAUAGAUGUCGCCAAAUCCUACCGCUAGAUUAAGUUGCUGUUUUUAAAGUUUUACAAGGGGUAAACAAAUAUUCUGUGAACAAUUUGUAGCCUGAAUCCACGACAUAAACUGUACAUUUUGGUUCAUUUAUUUUUUUGUACAUUUAAUAAUACUACAUAAUAAUAUAAGGUGUAUGGGAAAUAAUUAAUAAAUAGGUCAAUCAAUCAAUGGACAUUUUAAGCAGUUAUUAUAUAUUUUAAUGACUAGUUCUUAUUUUAAGUUUAUAUUUAAAAUCAAAUUUCGCCACAAAACACCUUUAACAUGAUUUAAUUAAUAAAUAGGUUGAACGUGAUUAUUUAAGAUUAUAUUUCACAAUAUAAUUAAUUGUUGGAUAAUUUAAUAAAUUAUUCCAAAUUGAAUCUGUUGAAUUGGCACCAGACUGAUUUAAUUUUGGCACAACACAACUCUUUCAACUUCACUGACAAACAGGUUCAAUACAAUUAUCGAAGAUUGUAUUUCAUUAUUAAAUGAAUGUUCAAUUUAAUAAAUGUAAAUGAUUAAUUAAAACUUCAUUAUCUAUUUGCUUGGCUUAAUAUUACUUU